UGCGCCACUUCCGGGAACGCGGGGUCAUCUCAGGGCGUCGCGCCGCAGGGGUUUGGCGGGCGCGCGGGAAUAGUUUUGUCGCUGUCUCUGCCUCUGAGUAUGUACCCGGAGGCAGCGUCUCUCCUUCCCUGCGGCUCCCAGUGUUCGCGGGGCGCGGGGAGCAGCCUGACGACCCCUUGCUCUCGCUCUUCCACGAAGGAAAUCGAGCAAGCGCCCGGAGGCGGGAGAGGACUUUGGGCAGGCCGCGGGGGGCGUGGGGCGAGCGGGGUCCCGGCCGCAGCCCGCCCGCCGGCCCCAGCCACAGCCUCCUCGGACGCCAGGGUGACGGGGACCUGCCCCCGCUAGCGAGGAUUCCGUGGACUCAUGCGCGGGACCCACCAGACACGUCGUUAAGCGCUGUGGGGCCCGAACGGUGACCCGGAGCCAGUCCCGGGAGCCUGGGGUCCUACAGAGGCGGGAGUGUUUUCCAGUAUUCUGAAGAGUAUGAGGGCUGUCAGGGGUCGUGUCACCUGAAUGAAGGUUUGAGAACCAGACUUCCAGGCCCAGGAGGGGCAUGAAUCCAGGUGAAAGAGCACCAUGGUGUUUGGAAGUACUAUCAUGUCCUGAGGCCACUCAGGCGGCCUGCCAGCCACCACAUGAGUGAGCUUGGAAGUGGUCCCCGCUCCCCAACCCCUGUUGAACCUUGAGAUGACUGCAAACUCUUGAAGGACCCAGAGCCAGAACCAUGUAGCUGUGCUGCUUCCAGAUUCCUGACUCACAAAAACUGAGAGAUAAUAAGUGUUUGUUAUUUUAAGCCAUCAAUUUGGGGUGAUUUGUUCAGCAUCCGUAGGUAACUAAUAGAAAUUUGUAGACCUCCCCUCUUCAGACCCGUCGACUGUGUUGACACAAGUGCUGUUAGGACCUCACACCCAACACGUCCCGCCAUGAACUCAUCCUCUUCCCUCAAGCCGCCUCCUCCUUGUUUUCUGUCUCAGUCGUUGGCACCAACUGCCUAGUUGCCGAAGCCCGAAUAUGGGAGUCAUCCUUAACUCUUCUCCUCAUCCUUCAAAUAUAGUCAAUAACAAAGUCUUGUUAUUUAUUGCUCUGACGUCUCUCUUGUAUUUAUCCAGUUCUUUUUAUCCCUUCCACCUCGUAGUGCAGGCCAUCAUUUUUUCCCUACCCUACUGCAGCAGCCUCCUAAGUUGUCUUCCUUCCUCUGGGUUGGCGUCUUGUAGUCAGUUCUCUGCCCUGCAGCUGGAGUGAUCUUUGCCAAGUGCAGAUCUGACCAUGUCACACCUGGUCGUGCUUAACCACCUUCAUUUUGUUAUUGCUGUCGUUAGGAUGAGGUACACAUUCCUUGAUUUGCCUUCUGUAUAUCCGAGUUUGCAUCUGUUGUCUGGUGUCCUAUCUGGUUUAGCAUUUGUCUUGGGAAAAAAGUGUCCCAGUGUGAAAAACAAAUUAUAUGAUCGUCCUCAGCACGUCAGGCACUCUUCAUGUGGUGCCUCCCUGCCUGCAUACAGUGCCACUCACCCCGUCGGUCCUUAGAUCCUGGUUUCAGCUCUGCAGUUUCCCCUCGUUUUCACACCUUCCAGCAUACUGUGACUUCUUCCUGGAACUCUGCCGCCUUCAUGGUUGUUCUACCAUAACCGGCUCUCCCGUUUGAGGAUAAGCUCUGAGAGGGCAGAAGACAGCCAGUUAGUGGUAGGAGAAUUAUAACUGCUAUCUUCCCAUUGUAUCCUUAGCACCUAGCCCAUAUAGGACAUUAUUAGUAUUUCCUGAAAGAACAAAGAGUGCAUUGGAAUGGCCUGAGACAGGGCUUAGGUUGACAAGCAUAGGAAAUUAGUGUGGUUUUCUAGGUAUUGAGGUCUGGUAUUAGGGUGAUAGCAGCGAGGACAAAGUGUAAGAUUUGACAGAAAAUUGGAUAUACAAGGAGGGAAAUUCAGAUUACUCCCAAGUUGUGAAUAACUGGGCAAAUGGGUGGUGGUGGUAAUAGAAACUGGGAAGAAGGCAGGAGGAGCAGUAGAUUUGGGAGGAAUAAUACGAGAUUCUUUUUCAGUAUUUGAGUCUGACGCUUAGGGCUACGUCUAAGUGGAUCUGGGACAUGGAAGAGAAGGUUCCUGAACUAAAGGUAAUUUGGAAGUUGUGAGGUGAUGGUUAAAGCUGUAGAAACAGAUGAGAUGGCAAAAAGAAGUACAGAGGAAGAGUGGGCUGUGGGGAAACCCUCAGUUAGGGCACAGGAGGAAAAAGAGCCAGUGAAAGAGAAAUAGUUGAGGAUGCAAAAGAAAAUCACAAGAGUGCUUUGUUCCCCCUUGAGGAGUGGAGAUAUGAAGCUGUGUUCACACCAAAUGCUGAAGAAGUUGGGGAGAAUACAUGAUAAAAGGCCAUUUUCUUGGGCAAUUAGGUCAUGGUGACCUUCUGGAAAGCAAUUUCAGUGAAAGGAUUAUGAGGAAUGUGAGUGAAUGAAGAAAAAGAGAACACUGGUAUUUUUUAUUUUACCAUUAAGGCCAAUGAAAUAAAUGAAAAUAUUUUUGCAUUCAAGGGAAUUUAUUAUAUUACCAGUUCUUUUUAUGAUCAAGAAUAACAUAUAUAAUAGCACUUACUCAUCUCUCUAUAUGGCAUUUAUUGAAUUACUCGUUAGCGUUUUUGGUUUCCCCGCUCAUUGAACCUCUGCGGCCUCAGCUUACUCACUUUCAGUCCAUAACACCCAGCUCAGGCAUAGAUGCCUACCAGCAGUGAGUUACAGCUUAGCAGGGCAGAACGAGGCAUAGGAGGCAGGACGUGACAAAAGCCGUGUACUCAGAUGCCUUAAAAACCGAAAGGACAGCCAUAGUAGGAGGAGUUCUUCUCUAAAAUUGGCGCUUUACCCUGCUGUGAUAAUGACGGCUCAUUCCUGCCUUUCCUCUCCUAGAGUGAGUUCUCUGAGGACCAGGACUGGGGCUUAGUUACGUGGCACACACCCGGCCUGCCUUCUUCCGGCUUUACUCCUGACUCUCUUAUUCAGAGAUCUGCGUGCCCUCCUUUUAUAGUAAAUGUAGAUUAUGUGACAGACUUUAAAUUCAUUUCAACAUUUGAGUGCCCAGGUCUCAUUGAAUACUGUGAAUCCUAUUAAGUUGCUUCUCUGAAGGUACUGAGAUGUUU
rnacentral:lncRNA from 1 species